rnacentral:pre_miRNA from 1 species
UUUGAUAAGCUGACAAGGGACAGGAGUUCUUUUCACUGUUGUGUCAGUUUAUCAAACC